GUGUGGGAAUGACCAUUCCAGGUUCCCCAGGUGUGGGAAUGACCAUUCCAGGUUCCUCAGGUGUGGGAAUGACCAUUCCAGGUUCCUCAGGUGUGGGAAUGACCAUUCCAGGUUCCUCAGGUGUGGGAAUGACCAUUCCAGGUUCCCCAGGUGUGGGAAUGACCAUUCCAGGUUCCUCAGGUGUGGGAAUGACCAUUCCGGGUUCCCCAGGUUUGGGAAUGACCAUUCCCGUUGGAUCCUCCACCAUUCCCAGCUCCAGCUGCAUCCAGAGCCUCUCUCCCUUCUCCCACGGCUCCAGGAUCCUGCACAGCCUGGAAUUCCUUCCCUGUGUCCAGCCCUUGGCUGACCGUCCCACGUCGCUCCGGCCACGCCGCUCGAUUCCUCUGGGGGUGCUCAGGGAUCC